rnacentral:lncRNA from 1 species
GACUUCCGGGGUGGCGCCACCGGCGAUGGUGGACUCCCUCUGAACUGGAGGGACCAGCUCCGCAUGAAACGGGUCUUUUCCGCUGCGGCGUAGCGGGGACCCUUCUGGAAAUCACAGGCGGAUGAAGCCUGUGACCGUGGGACUCGGCGGGCACCCUUAGCGCCCCCCCAACCCACAAAGGAACCCAUAAACGGGUUCCGAAGUGAAGAGGGGGAAGUGGCGCGGUGCUGUGAGUCAACUGCUUUUCUGCGGAGCGAAGCCGCAUAGCCGUCGCCGGAGAGCGCUGCCUUUUUCCUGGGACAAUUUGGCAUUUAAAUCAACCAACCGUGAGUACUGGAACAUUGAAUAUUUGGACUUCAAAUAAAGAACUGGUGAAAUUAAAAGGAAUUUGGACUUAAAAUUUACUCUAAUUUGGUACUGAAAUGGAAAGGAUCAAACAGGAAGUCACCCUUCCGUUUCCCUGUAGCCGGAACAAAGCAAAGACAACGCAAACUAGAGCCUUAAAAAACCACUUGUAAAGGAUCGACUUUCACCAUUUAAAACCGCUGAAUCCCCCUUCGGUAGCAGGAAAAGAAGGGGGACUCUUUCUGAGUUGUUUAAACCUGCAGAAAUGAAGUUAAAGUAAAGUAUUUUUCCAUCGCCCUGACCCUGGAGAGGGGUGUCAGAAUUGACGUUUGAAGCUCAUUGACCAGAAACAAAUGCUUUUGACAGAUAGUUAAAGAAGAGAAACGUAGUUACUCCAUUGUUUCCUUUCGUUUUUUAAAAGAACAAAUAUGGACAAAGUAUCGUAAAAAAGAAACUUUGUUGCUAUUGUUUUCAAGAGAAGGAACAACUAGAAGCUUUUCCCCGAGAGGGGAAUUGUGAAAUUGUAACUAAUUCCUGGGAAUUCCUGGGAACUUGCAGCUGUCACUGAUUACAACUGUGGGAAAGGACUUUGUGACCUUGCAGAACAAUGUCUUCAGAAGCACUGUUGGGUGCUUUCUGUAAAAUAAAUACCCUAUUGGAUCAGUUAAGCCAGAAGAUGGAUUUCAUGACUAAUGCGGCCAGAUCCUUUGAGCAGGUAGUGGGAAACUAUAUGGAGCCCACUCAGGAAUCAAAACAGGAGCGUGCCAUGACAGAACAACUGAGAGAAGAGGAUUUUGCUGAAUCUUGGGCGCCAGAGACGGAGGGAGCUGCGGCCCAGCAGGAUUACAAACUUUUGGACUUGACAAAUGAACUUGGAAAAAAUCAGACUUGGAAAGAUAAAAUCUGGUUCGGUUUGGAAAUGGGGGGCUGGAUAGACCCCCCUCCACAGGGAGAUUUUGUCUUUUCAAGUCUGGAAAGGGGCCGUCAGAUGUCUGGAGUUGUGGGGGCUCCUAACUUUGAAGGGAAUCUGGAAUAUGCUUGUAAAUUUUACAUUGAGCCUGGAUUGGACUAUGGAAAAGGGACUGUUUUGUUGAAAAAGAUCAAAAACACUACCAAGCUGGAGUUCCCACGAAUAAAAGGUAAAUAUAAAGAAGAGCUAUGGAAGGGACAUGGAAGUGACUUAAGGGCCUCGGACAUAAGACUGCCAGGUUAAUGUGCUAGAUUAAUAGGAUAAAAAGGACUGACAAACCCGGGACCAGGAGAAAAGGACGUUGGAUGAAGACUGGAUUCUUUCUUUUUAUUUUUAUCAUUAGGACUGUUUUACAAAAUUGAUGAAUGUUAGCAAAAUGCUGAAAUGAAUUUAUUUGGCUCUUAUAAAAAUGUUAAAAGAAUUAGGCAAGAAUGCUAUGGUUAAGGAGAAGUUGAUAAAAAAUUAAGACUUAAGUUUUAAACUCUAAGGUUUUUUUUUUAUAAGAUAAGAUGAAAAUAGAUUAAGGUAAUGUGAUGACAGAAUAUUAUGAAUUAUGGAAAGGAUUUGCUGUGAUUAUUAUAAAAUAGGAUACAGGAAAAGGGAGGAGGAGGAGGUCAAGGAAAGAAGGUAUUGAAAGUGGAGAAUUUGAGAAUGAUGGUUUUAUUUUUUAUUUUUUAUUUUUUUUAUUUUUUAUUUUUUGUAUAAAAUUUUGUAGAAAAUCCUUUUUUCAAUAAAUAUC